CUCCGUCCCUGCCUCCCACCUCCCGGUCCCCUCCCUCGCUCGCUCCCUGCCCACUCCCGCGGGGACGCUCCGUGGCGCGGCUUCUUCACACUUUAGUUGGGAGCCGCGCGCCGCGCUCAGUUACUGGAGAGCUGGCCGCGCGCCGCCGCCCCCCGCUCGCACGCACGCGGGCCCGGCCUCGGGGGGUUCGGCUUCUACUCCCAGCAGCAGGGAGGAGGGGGAGCCGCGGACACCCUGUGGGGAGGAGGAGGAGGAGGAGGAGGAGGGAGGAAGAGAAAAGCGAGGAGGAGAGGGCGGGGGGCGGGGGGCUCGCCACCUUCAGCUCCCCCGCGAGCGCCCAAGGGCUUUUCUCCACUGGGACUCCACGCAUGGACCCUUCCACCCCAAGGACAGCAGUGUGAGCGAGCACCCUGGGAGUAAAACACAUUUCCUCGAGUGGAUUGGAAGUCAUCACUGCGUUUCUGAAGACAUUUAGCCACAGAUUUAAUUCAAAAUCCUGUUGGUGUGCGCAGCUUGACCAACUCAGCAGCAAGGUGGAUUCUCUUUGUGUUUAAAGAAACAAAAAAAUGUUCCCGUGUCUGUAGAGAUGAUUUGCAGUUCAGCCCAGCUGAAGCUGACCGAAUGAGACUAUGGGCUGUGCCUCCGCCAAGCAUGUUGCUACUGUUCAAAAUGAAGAGGAAGCCCAGAAAGGGAAGAGCUACCAGAACGGAGAUGCAUUUGGCGAUGAGUAUAGGAUCAAACCAGUGGAAGAGGUCAAAUACAUGAAAAAUGGGGCAGAAGAGGAGCAGAAAAUAGCAGUGAGGAACCAAGAAAACUUGAGAGCAGAAAACCACCAAUGCUACUGCAGGAACCCCCAAAGACAGGGGAAAACUACACCCAGCAUGAGUCUUCAGUGUAAUGAAAACCGAAGAUCAGGCAUGUCCAGCCACAGGGAUCAUAGCAGCAUGUGUUGAUAUGGAGAAGCCAGAAAUUUCAAACAGCCUGGAACGUUGCCUCAACAGAUGGAGAGCAGCUGCCCAGGAAAGACACCAGGACUGCAGACUUUGAAUAGCCAGAAAUAAAUAAACUGAGACCAAUCCAGAUGUAGACUUGCCCAAGGUCAAACAGUGAGUGUUUGGUACAGUCGGAACUCAGCGUUAGGUCUUCUGACUUCAGAUCCAAAUAUCUUAGUAAUCUUUCCAUGACAUUCUAUUGCCUCAGAAUGUCUAAUAAUGAGAACAGGCAACUGCAGUUUCCUAUUGCUUCAUGCUGUGAUUUGCAGGACCAGCCUCUUCAUGCGUCAGAACCCAUUUACACGUAUCACCUUUCCACACUCUGGCGCCCUGUCGUUCAUCCCCCAAAGGAAGCACAUCUUCCAGUUCUCCAUACAGCUCCUACCAUGUCAAAUGAGUUAGUACAUGUGCAGUGAUGGGCACUGUAGUGAACUGAAUUGUGUCCCCCAAGUUUUAUGUCUUAGAAACAGCCCCCACUGUGACUAUUAAGAGGGUGGGAAAUCCUAUUAUGGUAAUUGAAAGGUGGAGCCUUGAAGAGGCGAUUGGGUUGUGGAACUGUGCAGUAGUGAAUGGAUUAAACAUGGUGGUCAGGGGUGUGGUUCUGAGGGCUUUAAAAGAAGAGAGUUUGUCUCUCCUGCUCUCUCUGCUUCCACCAUCUAACAGUGUGAGACCCCUGGGUCACUGUUGCCACCACCAGAUGGACUUUGGACUUCCUGACCUCAGAAACUGUAAGCAAUAAAUUUUGUUUUCUUUACAAA